GGCCUACCAUGGUGGUAACGGGUAACGGGGUGUUAGGGCACGACACCGGAGAGGGAGCCUGAGAAACGGCUACCACAUCCAAGGAUGGCAGCAGGCGCGCAAAUUACCCAAUCCCGACACGGGGAGGUAGUGACAAUAAAUAACAGUACGGGGUUCUUUCGGAUCUCGUAAUUGGAAUGAGUACAAUUUAAAUCUCUUAACGAGGAACAAUUGGAGGGCAAGUCUGGUGCCAGCAGCCGCGGUAAUUCCAGCUCCAAUAGCGUAUAUUAAAGUUGUUGCAGUUAAAAAGCUCGUAGUUGAAUUUCGGGAUCAGAUUGUCGGUCGUGCCUCGGUACGUACUGGCAUUAUUGGUUCCUACCUUCUGAAGAACCGCGAUGUCAUUAAUUUGGUGUCGUGGGGAAUCAGGACUGUUACUUUGAAAAAAUUAGAGUGUUUAAAGCAGGCGCACGCUUGAAUACAUUAGCAUGGAAUAAUGAAAUAGGACGUUUGAUUCUAUUUUGUUGGUUUCUAGGAUUGACGUAAUGAUUAAUAGGGAUAGUUGGGGGCAUUAGUAUUCAAUUGUCAGAGGUGAAAUUCUUGGAUUUAUUGAAGACUAACUACUGCGAAAGCAUUUGCCAAGGAUGUUUUCAUUAAUCAAGAACGAAAGUUAGGGGAUCGAAGACGAUCAGAUACCGUCGUAGUCUUAACCAUAAACUAUGCCGACUAGGGAUCGGAUGAUGUUAAUUUUUUAAUGACUCAUUCGGCGCCUUACG
rnacentral:rRNA from 1 species